rnacentral:rRNA from 1 species
UACGGAAGGUCCAGGCGUUAUCCGGAUUUAUUGGGUUUAAAGGGAGCGUAGGCGGAUUGUUAAGUCAGCGGUUAAAGGGUGUGGCUCAACCAUGCAUUGCCGUUGAAACUGGCGAUCUUGAGUGCAGACAGGGAUGCCGGAAUUCGUGGUGUAGCGGUGAAAUGCUUAGAUAUCACGAAGAACUCCGAUCGCGAAGGCAGGUGUCCGGGCUGCAACUGACGCUGAGGCUCGAAAGUGUGGGUAUCAAACA